rnacentral:rRNA from 1 species
GCUUACGGCCAUAUCAUGUUGAGAGCACCGGUUAUCGUCCUAUCACCGAAGUUAAGCAACGUCGAGCCUAGUGAGUACUUAGAUGGGUGACACGAUACCAGCACUACCACCAUACACA